UAACUAUGCCUCCCCAUCCCUUUUUUUCUUACAUAUGUGGUUUAAAUGGUUCCUAAUAUGUUUGGCAAUGUAGAAAUUCUCAUAUAGGCUCUGCCAGAUGGUCUAUUGUUUAAAUGUUGAAUAGUUGCAUUACACUAUAAUAGAUGUUAACACAGUUGUGGAGAAGAGAGUAAUAAUAAUAAUAUAGUAAGUAAGAGAUAUGGAGUCUAGUUAGCCUAUUUAUUGCCUACUUCAUCCCUCACCUUUUGGAAAACAUGAGGUUAACAGGGGAGAUAGUAAGUAGGAAUGGCAUCUAAUUUGGGGUUUAUGUUAAGAUUUUGUUCAAAGCCAAAACAACACUUUCUGGAGAAUGCUAAGUGAGUUCAGGCUCAUAUUUGUUUCCCAUAAAUAUAUCUUCACCCGAUCUGUUAAUGGAUUUAUAUAGUAUGAUGAAGUAUCUCCCUGACUUAAUCAUUGUUCCAUGCCUUAUUUCAUCUAGAUUGUAAUCUCUUCAAGGGAAGCAACCUCUUAAACUCUGUAAUUGCCAUGUCAACUUUUCCUUUAUUUUGUCUGCCCUGAAACUCAUUGGUCACUUGUGUGCUUAUGUCAUAUUAUUGUGUGAUCAUUCUGCAAAGUCUUUCCAUCAUUUAACCAUUUUAUUUCUAUUUAGCAAGCCAUCUGGAACCAUCUACACACUUGGAAAAUGUCUCCCUGCCUUUGUAAAAGUCCUAAACAAAAUCUGUUUCCUAGAGCAAACUCUUGGGUGAGACACUGUUUAUUUAUUUAAUUUGAAGAGACAUUUAUUUUGACCUUAGAAAGAAUAAUCCCAGGAUUAUGUGUGUGUGUAUAUAUAUAUAUAUAUAUAUAUAUAUAUGUAUUUCCUAAUUUUUAUUUUGAGAGAGAGAGAGGGAGCUGGUUGUGCUUCUCACCACUGUGUCAAGCCCCAGACGCCCAGAUGGAUAUUCUGCUGCCUGUAGGAGUACUCAUUAAAGACCUAGUCAACAAGCUUCUUGACUCACAGGCUGCUAUGUUGUCGCUGGGGUUUGAUUUUUUCCCCCUCUCGUUCUUUUAUUAUUUCCUUGGCACCUCUAAUAUUGUGUUUAAGAUCAUCUAAGACUGAGACAGAAUGAUGCGUGAUGUGAGGAAAUUGGAACCGAAUGUCUUUACUGUACCGGCACAUGUGCCACACAUUUCUAAAGCUGACAGGCUUAUCUAAAGAGCCUAUUUUUCCAGGUCAUAGCAUAUUCCUUUAACCCUUGAGGUCUCUCCUUGUCUCUUCCCAAUACAAAAAUGUCAGAAGAACACUAAAAAAUGGCCUUAAUAGUUGCAUUCAUAUCAGCUUGAAUAUCUCAAUGAAGGCUUUCGACAAGAGCAGGUGCACCAAACAAAACAUGUACCUAAAGGUUCUAAUUCUACUAUUUCUUGCUCUCCUAUGCACAACUUUCCUGGCCUUGGAAACAUGGAUAUCAUCCUCAUCUUUAUCAGAAAUAUAUCAUAAAGCUGAGUUUAGAUAAGGAUGGGUGAGGAUAGAUGUGGUGUCAUAAGAAAUUCUGAACAGUCCACUCCGGUGGGAUGGGGAGUGAAUUUAUCAGAGUGUCAACCACACUUGUUAAGCUUUGUACAAAAUGAGUAACAAAAUUCUAGAAGCAGAAAACAGUUUCUGUGCAGACAAACUUUAGGUUCUUUUUCCCUAAUUCAUACUUCAAAUGGUAGUUUAUAUCAUUGCGUAGUCUGGAGAUCCUUCCCUUCUCUAACUUCAAACAGACUAAGAAGCGCAUUUUAAAAUUUUCUCUUAAAUUUUUAUUUUUUAAAGAACACUUGUUUUCAAAUGAGGAAGGAAGUUAUCACUUGUGUAAAUGACCUUUGAGGGUUCUCAAUACCAGAGAAACUAAGAGGUUGAAGGACGGUUGGAAGCAAUGAAUGGAAGGAGGAGGUACAUUAAGAAAUAAAAAUCCAUAUAUAUGUAUAUGUAUAUAUAUG
rnacentral:lncRNA from 12 species